AACGACUCUCGGCAACGGAUAUCUCGGCUCUCGCAUCGAUGAAGAAACGUAGCGAAAUGCGAUACUUGGUGUGAAUUGCAGAAUCCCGUGAACCAUCGAGUCUUUGAACGCAAGUUGCGCCCGAAGCCAUUAGGCCAGGGCACGUCUGGGCUGGGUGUCACACAACG
rnacentral:rRNA from 1 species